AUUGCAUCACAUCAGUCUUUAACAGGAUGUGGAAGGGGAAAACGUGUCCUUAGGCUGGUGUUCUCAAUGACAGGACAGAGAAGAGGAACUUCCAGGGAUU